rnacentral:rRNA from 1 species
UGUGUAGGCGGUUGUUUAAGUUUGGUGUGAAAUCUCCCGGCUCAACUGGGAGGGUGCGCCGAAUACUGAGCGACUAGAGUGCGGGAGAGGAAAGUGGAAUUCCUGGUGUAGCGGUGAAAUGCGUAGAUAUCAGGAGGAACACCGGUGGUGUAGACGGCUUUCUGGACCGUAACUGACGCUGAGACACGAAAGCGUGGGUAGCAAACA